rnacentral:rRNA from 1 species
UACGAAGGGGGCUAGCGUUGCUCGGAAUGACUGGGCGUAAAGGGCUCGUAGGCGGCCAACUAAGUCAGACGUGAAAUCCCUCGGCUUAACCGGGGAACUGCAUCUGAUACUGGAUGGCUUGAGUUCGGGAGAGGAGCGUGGAAUUCCCAGUGUAGAGGUGAAAUUCGUAGAUAUUGGGAAGAACACCGGUGGCGAAGGCGGCGCUCUGGACCGAGACUGACGCUGAGGCGCGAAAGCGUGGGGAGCAAACAGG